CAGGGAAGCAAGGAGUAAAGACAGGAGGGGCCGAGAGCCAAGGACCAGAGACCCCAAGGAAGCACUGAAGCAGCGACGUCUUGACAGAAGCACUGGUGACACCCACCCUCUAGGGACCAGGAAAUGCCUACCCCACCCCAAAGAAGCAAGAAGGAGGAACCAGGGGGGUCUUUUUACAGCUUCCUUUAAGUUCAGAACUGUCAAGGACACCCGAGCCCACGAGCCACGAAUUCCACAGCCAUCGGAAAUGCUGAGUGUGUAUAGAAGCUCAGUCUGGUGAAGGCCAGCCACCAUGUCAUGAGGACACACAAUCAGCCCUUUGAGAGGUCCACGCGUGGCCAAGUCCAUGUGGACAGGAACCAAUGCACCAGCACCAACUUGCUGGCCAUGUGAGUGGAUCCUCCAGCCUCAAUCAAGCCUUCAGGUGAUUCCAGCCCCCAAACCUGCAAGUAUUCCAGCUGAGGCUCCAGACAUCGAUCGUAGGACUGUGUCCUGUCUAAAGCCUCCCUCACUCCCAUGUCCUGUCUGAAUUCCUGAUCCACAGAAACUGUGAGAUGAUAAAUGAUUAUUGUUGUUUUAAGCCUCUAAGUUUUGGGGGUGGUUUGUUAUGCAGCGUUAGAACUCUAACAUACACGUGGCUUCACCUAAUCUCAAGAGGAUGGGGAAAUCUAAGGGUCCCACUGGCCUAGAGAUGGGAGAAGCUAGUUAUAGGCAAGUAUCCUGAUCUUACUGGAAGAACUUAUCAAUGAGCAGUUUUCAGACAAAAACCAGGACUCACACUCCUUCCUUUGAUGGUUCAUAGAUAGUUGUCAUCUGAAAAAUCAAGGGAUUGCUCCUGUCCCAAGGUACCACCAGGAAUAAUAUCCAAGUUCAUAGAUGUGCAGCAAUAACACAUUAGAAAUUUUUAAAUGCCAUUGCUGAAAAACGUCCAGAUUUCAGAAAUAUUAAAGCGCAAAAGAAUAAGCAUCUUGGAAUUAAUGGAAAUGGCAUAUCACUGUGUUUUCAGUCACAUGCUCUCUUAUUUCUGCCUGUGUUGUAGUUAUUUACCUUUAUCUGGGAGAUCUGAGGUGGUAGGUUUGGAGAUAAAAAGAGAACAUCAGUAGAAAGUCUUCAUAUUCAAAGCAAAGCACGUUGUCUUAGUCCAUUCAGGCUGCUAUUUAAUAAUUAUUUUUAAAAUCCAUAGACUGAGUGGCUUAAACAACAAUUUAUUUCUCACAGUU